AUUAUAUUUAUCAAAGUUGUACAUAUAUCGAUGCUAGUUUGUUUUGUUUGGUAAGGAACAUGUGUUUAUGCUAUUUAUAGAAAGGUCUGUUGGAUUGGAUAUAUAAAGUAUGCGGGAAGAAUUUCAUGCACGGGUGGUUUGAUAGUAGUUAAAGUCAUUCGAGUCAUUGCAGUCAAGUGCUCUAGAUGCUUUUUUCGAAUUCUUACAAUUUAAUACAUUCAACUUAGUAUGGGAAAUUCUGAAAAUGAAGAGACUAUUCCUAAUACCCG
rnacentral:lncRNA from 1 species